rnacentral:rRNA from 1 species
GAUGAACGCUGGCGGCGUGCUUAACACAUGCAAGUCGAACGGUGAAGCAGAGCUUGCUCUGUGGAUCAGUGGCGAACGGGUGAGUAACACGUGAGCAACCUGCCCCUGACUCUGGGAUAAGCGCUGGAAACGGCGUCUAAUACUGGAUAUGAGCUGCGACCGCAUGGUCAGCAGUUGGAAAGAUUUUUCGGUCUGGGAUGGGCUCACGGCCUAUCAGCUUGUUGGUGAGGUAAUGGCUCACCAAGGCGUCGACGGGUAGCCGGCCUGAGAGGGUGACCGGCCACACGGGGACUGAGACACGGCCCAGACUCCUACGGGAGGCAGCAGUGGGGAAUAUUGCACAAUGGGCGAAAGCCUGAUGCAGCAACGCCGCGUGAGGGAUGACGGCCUUCGGGUGGUAAACCUCUUUUAGCAGGGAAGAAGCGAAAGGGACGGUACCGGCAGAAAAAGCGCCGGCGAACUACGG